AUGGAUAUUAUGUGGAAAAAUAGAAAUAAAUUUAUCUCGAACAAUGAGAAGGAGGAUGCGUCAAAGCUUGGUUGGUUGGGUUUUCAUAAGUGGCAGGAAUGGUUCGAAUCUCAACAGAAGGAAGGUGAAGCUUCCAGGCAGCAAGAUGAAAUGUGUUGGCUUCCACCAUCUUCUGGGUGGAAUAAGUGCAAUGUAGAUGCAGGUUUAACAAUAAUUGUGGGACUUCAAAUCGUGGUUGGUGUGUUCGUGAUAAAUUAG